UAUAUAGCUUUACUCUAUCAACACCACUCCCAUUUGUUUAUGUAACUUGGGAAAAUAUACUUUUUUUGUUCUCUGAAAUUCCAUGUUAAGCAUUUAUAAACAAAUUUGGGGGCCAAUCCAGUGAAACACCCUAUCCAAUCAAACUACUCUUAUGUGCAUGGUACACUAUCUGGAUGUCUGACCUUCAAACAGCCUGACUUAACAAUAACUGACAGCUCAAAUUAAAAACUAUUUGUAGUACAUUGGGAUAUUGGGAUAUGGUCGGGUCAUUUUCUUCAGAGAUCUUCCUGCUUCUAGAAGUUUUCAUUUCAUUUUACAUUUCAGCUCUCAUCUCCACAAGAACCCUCAAUCACAAAUGCUUCUGAGGAAUGGCAUCAAUAAAAAUAGGAUGACGCAGUUCAUUUACAGCUCUUUUGUUCGCUAUUUUGGAGGAAGGAACAUUGUUGAUGAUCCUUCUCUGCAUUCUUUACAGUCCAGGAGGACCUGUGGGUAUUUGGGUCCUGCAUAGUGGACCAACAGGGACCACUUCCUCUCUGGGGCAUGACAGCUUGAUUGAUGCCCUCUCAAAAGAAGGCCUGUUUCAGAACGAAAAACAACAACGAACAUCUUUGAUGCAGCCUUUUUCAGGCAGCUAUGAAUUAUGAAUUAUGUGAAUGCGUCAUAUAUCUCUAUUGAAACUUGUUGGAAAAACCCUGGAUGACAUGAGUGGAGUCCGGAGCUUUAUCCCAUAAAUGAAAAAGCAUCAGUGAACCGUAAGGAUCUGUCUGCCUCGCUGGUGCAGGACAGCUACUUCCAGAUUAGGCAAGAGUAUUUCUCAAUGCUGACUGUUGGGAAAGAUGGCAAUGUGAAAUCCUGGUACCCCUCCCUUAUGUGGUCCAUGUCAAGGAGAUGGCCAUCCAGCCGUCUUUCGGCAUGUGCUGCCCACGACGGUUAAGGUUAUUAAGAACAGAAGGGAAUGUUUCGAGCCUGUGCACUUCAUACUGGGAAAGGUGUGACUGUGAGUAGUUCAAAUGUCAGAAAACCUUGCCUUUGCAUUUUUCCUUCUAAACAGUACCCCAAACACAUCUCACUUUAUUAUUUUGUGUUAGCUAAUAUUUAGAUUUGCAUGUGUCAUGAAGUAUAUUGUUGAUUUUUUGUACAUUCAUGAAUUAACAAUAAUAAACUUGAAAUUCCAGAAAAGAAAAAUCCAAGUGAUCCAUGUUUUGCUAGUUAUUUUGCAGAUAAGAGU